UUGAUUUCGUUGUUUUUCAAAUCUUUGCAUACAAAACCUAGAGAAAUUUUAUAAUUCGUUGAACAUUUAAAUUCACACACGAAACCUACGAAAAUUGGUAUCCAAUUAAUGAUAAUAAAACCACAGUAGAUAGCAAAUGGACAUUUUAUUAUAAAUGUUGAUCUACUGACUAUGACAUAAUGUUUUGAAGAAACCAUACAAUAGCGGACCACGUGAUAUCUGGAAGGACCAGAAUGUGAAAAAUCUUUGAUCGUUAAUUGACCCUCCGCUUACGGCCUCGGCAUGCAAUAUACCAAUUUGCUUCUUAUAGGUUGUAUUUACAUGUUGAAAAUCGUUUAAUGUGAAUACGUAUACGUCCCUCUAUUAAUUGGAUUUAAAGAUUUAGCAUGCAAACCAAAACAUCACCACUUUAAUACUGACAAAAUCCAAAAAGCUCGUAGCGAUUUACAUUUUCUUUAGCUGCAUGGGAUUCAAAAAUUAAGAUAUCGUCACUAACACGAUUUCAUUUUCCGUAUUUAUAACGAGAUUCUUGCACAACAGUGAUAUAAUACAAAGCCAUUGCAUUGUAUUUAAAUUACAUUUAAAGUUUUACGCCAUUAAAUUAUUCAAAAAUGAUUGCUCUCAAAUCAUCAAAAAC
rnacentral:lncRNA from 1 species